rnacentral:rRNA from 1 species
CGUAGGAGGCGAGCGUUGUCCGGAUUCAUUGGGCGUAAAGAGCGCGCAGGCGGCUUGGUAAGUCGGAUGUGAAAUCCCGAGGCUCAACCUCGGGUCUGCAUCCGAUACGGCCCGGCUAGAGGUAGGUAGGGGAGAUCGGAAUUCCUGGUGUAGCGGUGAAAUGCGCAGAUAUCAGGAGGAACACCGGUGGCGAAGGCGGAUCUCUGGGCCUUACCUGACGCUCAGGCGCGAAAGCUAGGGGAGCGAACUGG